UUCUACUCUGUCGUUUUUUCAUACACCUUACUUGUCUUUGAUUUGAAGCCCUAAAAUUUCAUUUUCUUUCCUUUUCUUCUCCGCUGCUUGCCUUGGUGUCUAUCUUAUCUCAUCUCAUUCUCCACCAACGCCAUCGAUUUUUGAGUUUAAUCUCAUCUUAGGUCUCAUCCUCAGCUUAAUUCUCCACCAACGCUGUCGAUUUUUGAGUCUCAACUAUCGACAGUCGAUUUUCCCUUCUCCUGCUCCACCUUGCCUCCCUCCUCUGUCAAAUCCAAACUGUUGUGUCGAGUUUUGCUGUGUGACUGCGUUUGUGGGUGUGGCUCUACCUGUCAAAUUCAAGAUUCAAAAGUCUCACUCAACCGUGGCUCUCUCGUUUCCUCAUUCCUUCACAAAGAAGCCAAAAUCCGAACACCCCCAAGAGCACUCAACUAAGCCUUAGUUCUGAAUUUUGAACUAGUUGAGGUUUAGUUGAAGACUUGAAGUUAUAUAAACUUCACAUAAAUUAAAUUUGUCAUAUCUAAAGUUGUGCUAUUCUAAUAUUUAUUUUUUCCUAGAAUCUGUUGAAGCAAUAGAUUUGUAUGUUUUGGUGGAUAUGAGGUUUUACGUCUGUUUGUGUGGAUAUGUCGAGUUUGUUUCAUCACUAUCAAUAAUUUGAUUCAUUUUAUUGCCAUAAUUUUUAAUAAUUUUUGUGUUUUUGUCAGCAUCUUAUGCAGUUAACCAUUUAGAUUUUGCAGACCACUCGACUAAGCCUUAGUUCUGAAUUCUAAACUAGUUGAGGUUUAGUUGAAGACUUGAAGUUAUAUAAACUUCACAUAAAUUAAAUUUGUCAUAUCUGAAGUUGUGCUGGUGAUAUAUAAGUUUACUAAAAUCUUAGUAUUUAAUUUAUUGCGAGUCAUCUUUAAGAAAACAGUAAUGAAGAAAAUGGCACCUAUAGUGUGGUGUAAAUGUUGCAUUUUUUGACAAGUUUUUUCUCCCGAAGUGAGAUUGUACUCCUUAUUCAUUAUCAUGGUAAUGCUUAUCAAACUACCAUUCAAAGCUGGCCUUUCAGUUGGGGCAUAUAUGGUUCAAAAGGCCAUGAAAUGCAAUAGUAUGAAGAAUGGGCCACCAUUUGGUAUGUCAGGAUGAACACAAGAAUAAACACAUCAUCUACUGAUAACAUCCAAGGUGUUGGUCAGUACGUAGGUCAUCUAUGAAAAUAAUAUUCUCCCCUAGGCAAUUUAUUUUAUUCUCUCAAGGGAUGUAGGAUGAAGCACACCUUAAGCUGGGUUUAUUUCUUCCUCUCAUGUGCAUACUUCUAUUUUGAAAUUUCUUUGUAUGAGAAGUCUUACAUUUGAAUCAACAAGCCAUCAUUAUCUUUUGGAUUGUCUAA